rnacentral:rRNA from 1 species
CCUACGGGAGGCAGCAGUGAGGAAUAUUGGUCAAUGGACGAGAGUCUGAACCAGCCAAGUAGCGUGAAGGAUGACUGCCCUAUGGGUUGUAAACUUCUUUUAUAAAGGAAUAAAACGAGGCACGUGUGCCUUUUUGCAUGUACUUUAUGAAUAAGGAUCGACUAACUCCGUGCCAGCAGCCGCGGUAAUACGGAGGAUCCGAGCGUUAUCCGGAUUUAUUGGGUUUAAAGGGAGCGUAGAUGGGUUGUUAAGUCAGUUGUGAAAGUUUGCGGCUCAACCGUAAAAUUGCAAUUGAUACUGGUAGUCUUGAGUACAGUUGAGGUAGGCGGAAUUCGUGGUGUAGCGGUGAAAUGCUUAGAUAUCACGAAGAACCCCGAUUGCGAAGGCAGCUUACUAAACUGUGACUGACAUUGAUGCUCGAAAGUGUGGGUAUCAAACAGGAUUAGAUACCCUUGUAGUC